AUGAAGGAAGGCUGGUGUUCAAGUUACUUUCCACUCUCAUUUUUUUUUUUUCUGGAAGUUGGAAGAAACUUCCCCAAAUCUGACAAGUGAAUAUUCUCAUGGUUGGUGGAAAAGUGCCUGGUGUACCAGAAAGAGCACUGGACUUGGAACCAGAAGACCUGGGUUUGGGGUGGUAGCUGAUAGGCAGCUGGUUGAGUGACCUGAGGCUGCUGCUACUCUUGGGCACACAGAUUUUGAUGGAAAAAUAAUACAUGCCAAAAGAAAUUUGAGGAACAAAUUCAGGUCCUGAAGUUCAAAGGAUGAAUUCAAUUACAUUGUAAUUACAAAGGAUGAAAAUCAUUUGUAAUUGAAAGCAUCUGUGAGAUGGUAGAAGCCACAGACUCACAGCUGGAAGGGAAUUUUAACAGGUUAUCCUAUUCGGUUUCUGUCUUUGGUCGGACAAGACACCAACAUCUCCAUUUACCUGGUCAGAAAGUCCAGGCCCACAUAAACUAGGUGGUAUAUACACAGGUGCGCAUGAAGAGAGUGGGUCUGCUUUGUUGAAGGUUAUUUAGGUGAGGCUGAUAGACUGCAAAGAUGGCACCAGUGAUCUAUCCCUGGGUGCACAUUCUGUUUCUUCCAUCAGUGGCUAGGAAUUUGAGGGAUUGUUUCCUGUCCCCUUGGCUGGGCAGGCUCUGUGACAUCUUUUGACUGAUAGA